rnacentral:rRNA from 1 species
UACGGGGGGGGCAAGCGUUGUUCGGAAUUACUGGGCGUAAAGGGCUCGUAGGCGGCCAACUAAGUCGGAUGUGAAAUCCCCAGGCUCAACCUGGGAACUGCAUCCGAUACUGGAUGGCUUGAAUUCGGGAGAGGGAUGCAGAAUUCCAGGUGUAGCGGUGAAAUGCGUAAAUAUCUGGAGGAAUACCGGUGGCGAAGGCGGCAUCCUGGACCGACAUUGACGCUGAGGAGCGAAAGCUAGGGGAGCAAACGGG